ACCUUCGUGGUGUAGUGGUCAGCACACUCGGCGCGUAUUCGAGAAGACCAAGGUUCGAGUCCAGGCGAAGGCA
rnacentral:tRNA from 1 species